GGGCCGUGACCUUCAGGAUCGGAGCGCCGAGAGCCGGGCCCCUGAAGGGACGGAGAGCUCCGGUGGCUGUGGAGCCUUUGUUCACCUGUUCUCCAGGUACAAGUCAAGAGGUUAUGAGAACAUCUCCAUCGUGGGCCACCGGCAGGCCAGGACUCCAAUGUAGAGGGGUGGAUCCCUGGAGGUCACUGCUCAGCCCUUUUCUGGAGACUGCCAACCAGCAUGCCAUCCCAGCUGCGUUGUGGGGGUGAAGGGUGGGGUGACCACCAGUGAGGGUGAAGGCCACCCCCCUGUCACUCAUCUUGCCAAGCCAUUACCAGGCGGUCAGGACUCAUGGGCAGUGUCUCCUCCGGGGCCAUGCUGGCAUCUGUAACCUCCACACACCCCAGUGGUCCCAUCCAGCCAUCCCUGCCCACCCGCCUGGCCCACUCUGUUGUGAAGUUCUCAUCAGCCUUCCCCUUGUGCAUAGUCGUAACUCACAGGGGCUCCAACGCCCGUAGGGCAGCCCAUCGGAAGUGUCUCCUCUUAUUCCCGGCUAGAGACGUCCAGAGGACAAUCAGCUUCAGAUCAUACCAUCGGUAAGGUAGGUGCAACUGGGGCCUGACACACUUCAUCUCAGAAGCAAUCCAUGCUGUAAAAAAAAAAAAAAAAAAAAGUACAUGAACCGCCCCCAGUGCUUUCUGGCCUCCUCCUGUGUGCAGAGCAAAUGCUCAAAGGAAGAGACACAAGGAACUCCCCAUCCCCCUUGUUGCCAAGAUAUCCCAGAUAUCUUUGUCAGUCUGUUGCAAGGAGAAGGAACCGCGCUCUGGAAGAAACCGAAUGACCCCGUAAGACACAGACUGGAGAUUUUGCACAUGGAAGAAGAAGAGAGUUGUGGAAAAUUCUAGAAACACGCCUAGCGUUAGUUACAUUUGGACUCUCUACAAUGCAUCAGGCACUUUCUAAAUGGCAUCAUGUGGCAAACGUUGCAUUGCCCUCCGUCUGGCAGCCACGAAGGACUUUGAGGUCGUUUUCCUCUGCUUGGUUGAAAACCCGAGGGAAACCAGAUGACAAUUCAGGUGUGAUGUAUGGCGCCUCCGUGUCGUCCUGUCAUAGCUUCCGCCUCCCCACGCGGAGGGAGGCCACAAAGACAAAGCUGAGACAUUAUGGCUAUUCCAGAAAAUAAAAUAUUUUU
rnacentral:lncRNA from 1 species